AUUGAACGCUGGCGGCAGGCCUAACACAUGCAAGUCGAGCGAGCGGCGGACGGGUGAGUUAGGUCUGGGAAACUGCCUGAUGGAGGGGGAUAACUACUGGAAACGGUAGCUAAUACCGCAUACCAUGAGCUGUGCCCAGAUGGGAUUAGCUAGUAGGUGGGGUAAUGGCUCACCUAGGCGACGAUCCCUAGCUGGUCUGAGAGGAUGACCAGCCACACUGGAACUGAGACACGGUCCAGACUCCUACGGGAGGCAGCAGUGGGGAAUAUUGCACAAUGGGCGCAAGCCUGAUACAGCCAUGCCGCGUGUGUGAAGAAGGCCUUCGGAUUGUAAAGCACUUUAAGCGGGGAGGCGUUACUAGCAGAAGAAGCACCGGCUAACUCCGUGCCAGCAGCCGCGGUAAUUC
rnacentral:rRNA from 1 species